UAGUUCUUUAUUGAAUUUUGGAAGUUUGGUUUGCCAUGAUUGGUGAACGGUUUGUGGGUUUUGAAGUACGAUUCGAGUUGUCUGAUUCGAAAUUGAAAAACCCAAUCAAAAAUUCAAUUGGUGGGUAUUUGAAAUUUGGAUUGCGAAUGCUCUGUUUUUUUGUUCAGAUUCAUGGCUGCUAAUUAUUAGCUGUUAGAGAUGAAUUUUAGCCCUGCAUAAAGGCUUGAUAGAGCUCAAUUCAAGUUUUUAUGACAGUCAUCAAAUGUACUACCCAGCCAUCAAACUCUCAGAUAGAAUUUUAGCUUUUUCGCGGAGCCUCGAUCGACAUCCAUCUUCACUAUUUCGUAGGAUAUUCGUCUUUUAUACUGGUGGAUUACAGUUGUCAGUAUUGUGGACUGGAGUAUCUGCCUGUUUUUGCUUCCUUGAUUGGAUCUUGCUGUAUCUAGCGUGAAGCUGAUCAGAGAUCGGUUGUGUGUGUUUGCUUCGCACGAGGAGGUAGAGAGAUAGAUCGGAGGGUAAGUUUGAAUCCUCAAUCCGGGUUGAGAGAUAAAGAGAGUUAGAGAGAUCGGUUGUAUUUGUUUGCUUCGGACGAGGAGGUAGAGAGAUAGAUCGGAGGAAAAGUUUGAAUCUUCAAUCCGACCACAAUAAAGUUCCUUGGUUUGCUGAGUUCUCCUUUGGUUUGAUCAAAGGCUGUGGUUUUGGUGGAUUUCGACAGAGUGAGGAUUGCAGGCUUUGUUUGUGCUACAGUUUCAACUCUGGGCAAUUGAUUGCAAUACCUUCAAGGUAUCGUUUUUAUCUUUCAUAAUUUAAAAUCUUUCAUUAAUUUAUAUAUUCAUUCAACUGUGGGAUGAAUGAUAGGAUGCUGCUGCUGAUUUGGUCUCCUGAUCAUUCUUUUGUUCUGUAUAAGUUUAGUUAAUUAAACUAUGAUUGACUGAAUUAAUGGAAAAACAAUUUUAUCUUUGGACUUCAGCACUGAACCUGCAGGAUCACAUUUUUGUUAGGAUUAAAAUCCUGUUUAUUAAGUUUAAUUAUCUGAGCUGUGGCAUACCAUGUAUUUUUGAUUGUUUCCCUCUUUUUGAGCAUUUCUGUUUUGGAUCAGUGUGUGUCAUAUUUGUGGAAUUAAGUUUUGCUUGGACCUUUAAAUUGUUAAUCGAUUUCUAUAUAGAUUGAGGUAAGUUGGGUAUUACUAUCUUCUUCAUUGACGAAGAAAGAAUGGUUUAGGGAGAAGAAAGAAUGGUUUAGGGAAAAGAAAGAAUGGGUAUUUUCGGCGAGUUAUAGAAAAUUUUUGAACUAAAGCCAGUCAAUUGCAGUGGGUAUUGAGUAGUUUCUUUUUGUGGUAAUAUUUUAGUUUUGUACAGAUUCAAGUUUGGAAGAAGAUAAUAAAGUGUUUUUAGUUUUAUUUAUUUUCUGUUCAGUUUAAAAAUAAUAGAGUGGCUAUGGGUGUUAGUAUAUCUGGAGAAGAUUAUGGUGUUAGUAUGGUUUUUUUUUAUUUAUAUUUCUUCUGCUUUUCGAUGACAAGUACUAAUACAUUUUGCCAAGGGGUGUUUCUUUCUUUGGUGAAUGCAUUGUCUUAUCUGAUUCAAUUCUUAAUGUUCUGGGUUUCUUGCCUUUGCUUUUGUUCUGAUGCAUUGGCUUAGACAUUUUAGCAUUGUUCAUAAUAAAAAGAAAAAUGGUGAAAAUUGAGAAAAUUGUUUAAUUGUAUUUAAAAUGGUGAAAAUUGUUUUAUUGUUA